AGCGUUUGACUUGCUCGUCCUCCAUCUCUCCUGCGCAAUCAAGCAAAAUUUCCCUUUUUGUUGGACUCUACUUCACGACAAGUUUGGAGAUCUUGAAGCUCGUCUUUGGUCGCCCUCUUCUACCAUAGAGUCUUUUAGUGAUGUUCACUAUCUCGCCAACGCCACCAUCUUACUCUCCGUCCUAUAAUUCUUCUAAGAUGGAAGCGUUUGGAUGUUGGUAAAGUUUGUGGCCUUGGUUUUGUGGAAUCUUGAUGUAGCUCAUUUAGUUUUGAUGGGCUUGGAUACUUUUGUAUCUACACUUGUACUCUCUUGUAGCACCUUUCUCGCUUUGAUGCGA